rnacentral:rRNA from 1 species
GACGAACGCUGGCGGCGUGCUUAACACAUGCAAGUCGAACGGUGAAGCUCCAGCUAGCUGGAGUGGAUCAGUGGCGAACGGGUGAGUAACACGUGAGCAACCUGCCCCAGACUCUGGAAUAAGCGCUGGAAACGGCGUCUAAUACUGGAUACGAGAUCAAGCCGCAUGGUUAUGGUCUGGAAAGUUUUUCGGUUUGGGAUGGGCUCGCGGCCUAUCAGCUUGUUGGUGAGGUAAUGGCUCACCAAGGCGACGACGGGUAGCCGGCCUGAGAGGGCGACCGGCCACACUGGGACUGAGACACGGCCCAGACUCCUACGGGAGGCAGCAGUGGGGAAUAUUGCACAAUGGGCGAAAGCCUGAUGCAGCGACGCCGCGUGAGGGAUGACGGCCUUCGGGUUGUAAACCUCUUUCAGCAGGGAAGAAGCGAAAGUGACGGUACCUGCAGAAGAAGCACCGGCUAACUACGUG